rnacentral:rRNA from 1 species
AUUGAACGCUGGCGGCAGGCCUAACACAUGCAAGUCGAACGAGUGGCGGACGGGUGAGUAAUGUCUGGGAAAAUUUCUGCUGGAGGGGGAUAACUCCUGGAAACGGUACCUAUUACCGCAUACCAUCAGAUGUGCCCAGAUGGGAUUAGCUUGUUGGUGGGGUAACGGCUCACCAAGGCGCCGAUCCCUAGCUGGUCUGAGAGGAUGACCAACCAAACUGGAACUUGGAAAAGGUCCAGGCUCCGACGGGGGGCAACAGUGGGGAAAAAUGGAAAAAGGGGGCAAACCUGAUGCAGCCAAGCCGCGGUUAUGAAAGAGGCCUUCGGGGUUUUAAGGACUUUCAGCGGGGAGGCGUUGACCGGAGAAGAAGCACCGGCUAACUCCGGGCCAGCAGCCGCGGUAAUAC